AUUUUCAGAAGACAUUCUUUUAGAAAUGAUUUUCAGGUUUGGAUUAAAAAUAUUUUGGGUAGUUUUGAUACAGUUAAAAAAAUUGAAAUAUUAAAUAAAUGCUAAAAAUAUUUAUUAAAAUUUAUAACAAAAAUGAAAAGUAAUUCUAUAUUAUUUGAAUGCUUUGUUGCUGUUAAAUUUCCAUUCCCUUUUUGCUGCAUAGUUUCCAUUUUUUUCAACAAACUUAAUGACUUUGAACUGAAACUGUUGUUACUAUUGUAUUUCUCUAUGUUAACCAUAGAGCACCUACAAAUACAGAAGAAAACUAAAUAUUGUAAAGUUUUUCACUUAGGAUUAUGGUUGAAUAAGGGGCAAGGAAGUACUUUAACACUCCAACCAUCUAAUGGUUGGAGUGCCCCCUUUCCACUCUAACCAUGGUCUAUUUUGUAUCUCUAAUAAAUAAAUUUAAAAUUGCACACAAAAAACAAAGCUCCAAACAGGAUGGGUGCUUUAUUAACAGAGACGUUUUCGACCA
rnacentral:lncRNA from 1 species